GACGAACGCUGGCGGCGUGCUUAACACAUGCGAGUCGAACGGAAAGGCCCUGCUUUUGUGGGGUGCUCGAGUGGCGAACGGGUGAGUAACACGUGAGUAACCUGCCCUUGACUUUGGGAUAACUUCAGGAAACUGGGGCUAAUACCGGAUAGGAGCUCCUGCUGCAUGGUGGGGGUUGGAAAGUUUCGGCGGUUGGGGAUGGACUCGCGGCUUAUCAGCUUGUUGGUGGGGUAGUGGCUUACCAAGGCUUUGACGGGUAGCCGGCCUGAGAGGGUGACCGGCCACAAUGGGACUGAGAGACGGCCCAGACUCCUACGGGAGGCAGCAGUGGGGAAUAUUGCACAAUGGGCGGAAGCCUGAUGAAGAAACGCCGCGUGCGGGAUGACGGCCUUCGGGUUGUAAACCGCUUUCGCCUGUGACGAAGCGUGAGUGACGGUAAUGGGUAAAGAAGCACCGGCUAACUACGUG
rnacentral:rRNA from 1 species